UUUCCAAUACGAAAUAAGAGACAAUUGCAGGCUAAUCAACCGAAAACAUACAACAAUAAUAAUAGUGUCCAAAUUACAAGAAGUAUAAAUGUAUAAAUAUUAAUAUUUAAUCUCGAUCUUGAACUAAAUUACCGAUCAUGGUUGCCAAAGGGAGAAACGGGUAGGGGCCCACCCAUUGGGAUCACGCAACGUUCGUCUUCUUCGAUGCUCUUAACUUUUAUACCCAAAUGUUUCAACCGGCAUACCAUUCUUUCUUGGAUGUCUUCAAACUUUAACCCUGGGCGAGCCACGAGUGAAGUUUCUUCGAGAAAUAUUCUAGUCGACGAAAACGGCAUGGCGUAGAGGAAAGUUGGGAUCUUUGAGUUUCUUUCUUUUAUUUCGAGAUUGUUUUCGAGAUGUGAAUCUCUCCAAUCCAUGAACAACAUUUUAUCUACGUCGAAAGGGUGUUCCUCGACUUCGGCUAGGAUCCCGUAUGCCACUUGGUACCCGGGGUUAUACGGCUUGUCGUAUUGAACUAAAGAUCUUGAAAAACCCGUCGCGUCAAGAACCAAAGUCGCUUGGAUCGUGACACCAUCGUUGCAUAUCAACAACGAUUUCGAUUCUUCAUGAAUGACUUUGAUCACUUUUGCUUGAUGAAACUUAACCCCAUUUGCUAUACACUUUUGUAACAUCUUUGUUUUAAGUUGUUUCCUAUUAACCCUUGCAUAUGGUCUAUUAAGAUUCUUGGUUGACUUUUCAUCAAUGUAAACAACAGCACUUGACCAAGUGGUAUCCAAACAAUCUAAUAAAUCCAUAGCUUCAAACUCAUCAACCCAAACACCAUAAUUGUUGGGCCAAAUGAGUUUCGGGGAUGGGUCAAUCGAGCACACGGUUAGCCCAGCCUCGGACACCUGUUGAGCCACGGCUAAACCCGAAGGACCACCACCAACCACCACAAGAUCCACCACAAGCCCCCUUGAGGGAUCAUACAUAGGAAGCUCAAAAUCAAGAUUUUCUUUCUUGAUUUCAGGCACAAGCUCCAAAAGAGCACUACUACUAGCUUUAACACAAUCUUUAUUCCCUAAUUUGAAUUGGGAUUUCUUAGAGCCAAAUCUAAGGUCAUGAACUUGAGUCUUUGAUUGACUCACAUUUCCUGCAAAUCUGUUAAUUGGGUGCAGAAAUUCGAACGAGUUAUGAGUUCUUAACAAAGUAUCCAUGAUACCCAGAUGGAAUUUUAGUUAAAUUAAUGAUCUUUUUAACCAAUAACUGUUCAACACAUAUCAAGAAUCCAAGAAACCCCUCAAUUAACGAUAAAGUUAUGAACUUUAACUCGUUACCGACUCAAGAAACCUAAUUUCAGGCGAGAAUUGAGUGAAAAAUCAUAUAGAAUUGGGGGAAUUGAAAAGAAGAAAGAUUGAAGGACUUACCAGGAGUGAAGGGGUGAAAGAGUUCAUGGUUUUUUGAGAGAUUGGAUAAUGGAAAUUGGGAAAGAAUCAUGUGGUAU
rnacentral:lncRNA from 1 species